GAUAUUGGAAUGCUGGAAAUCCUGGAAAGUACAGCAGCUCCAAACACCACGUCGCUGCAGUCAAAGGGAUUGUCAGGACAACAUCAAGAACCCCGCGGAUUACAGUUUUGCGCAGAAGUUGUGCGGAGUAGACUUCAUGACGGCCGCUACUACCAUAUCGACUCUCUGCCGCAAACUACCAAUACCGCCAUGUUCCAGCUAUGACGCAGACCAACCACCGUCUGUGAACCACUACGCUCAAUGCACUCAAAACACCGUUAGCCGAUCGGGAAAAAUCGUGCCACCAUCGAGGAAUAAGCAGGAUCAUCGCUAUCUUCUCGAAUCAUCACAGCUAUGACGACAGGCUAGGCCUGUGAACGACUGCGUUAUCGCCGAAAACACCGUUGCCGAUUGGGACAAAUCGAGCCAUCGUCAAGCGCAGCGAGCAACAACACCUUUCACUACCUCCUCGCUUGACGACUAUACAGCUACGUCCAUCACCAAGGGUGAUCAACAAAGAGAUCUUCAUCGACUCAGCAAACACGCACAGCGUCAAUCACCACACUUCACCGAACGUGACAGUAUGCCCGACUAGAGCUUUGGUUAACGACUUCGCAAGCGGAUUGAGCUCGUCCGCAGCGACAGUGCGAAACUCACGCUGCAAACCUGCUUCUCGAGCGACAGCAGUAAUUUCUUCUCUAUGGACAACGCAUACUGAAGCAGUACGGAGUGUGCAGGUAUCGUCUGGACAGGCUCCUCAGUAAAUGGAGGUCACAAACAGGACCAUGCAGACCAAGAAUACCCGGAAAUGACUCCUCAGCGCCAAGGCGCUUUCCGUUCACGAAACGAGAAAAAUCGUACUCUGUGGGCUGGACGCAGUUCGCAGAGAGUCUCGUAAGGAGACAGUAUUGGAACGCCAGGCCAGGUUCUCCAAUACGACACCGAAAGACGUCACCAUUACACCCGCAAGGCCUCCCGCGGGCUAGCCGUUAGUCAGGGCGAGAGAAACUGACCGUGUUCAUGCUAAACGCAAACACGCCGUUACUGGAACGUGACAAACCAGCAAGAAGCUCUCUCGAGCGCGAUCCGUUAGUCAGGGCGAGAGAAACUGACCGUGUACAUGCCUCGCGCUGUCACGCCGUUGCUGGAACGUGACAAACCAGCAAAUCCAGCUAUGCAUGCAGAAACACGACUGCCAACAACGGAUGACCACUCCACGAAAAUCCGGACAGACAGACCGUUUGCCGAUCGGGAUAAAUCGAGCCGCGGAAGCAACAUCUGGACAACAGCACCAUUAAACCAUCUAUGAGCCACACCAGCUACGAAUAGAGUAUACUCCACCAAAAUACAGUCUUGGAACAAAACGACAAACCGUACUAAUCUGGAAUGGUGUCACUACAUACGAGGUGAAUCCAGAGUUUGAACCACAUGCUGAACUUGUCCUAAUUUCAGGGGAAGUGGCAUAAACGGGGUCGUCAAGAAAACCCUCCAUUCAAAAGCAACGCGAUCUGGAGGCGCGGUAAAACCUUCAUUCGGGCUCUUGGCGAUCAGGGAACUAAAUUCUCCCUUUCCAUGGAUUUGCUGCUUUUCCCUCCUUUUUUAUCACCAUAGUUUUAACCUCUUUUUUAAUUUUUUAAUUUGUUCAAUGUUUUGUGUUUUUGAGCAAAUGUUUUAAGUUAAGCUACUGUGUUGUGUUCGUAACCGUAGCGGAGGCGAGAAUUUAGAAGCUGGUAUAGGAACGGUCAGAGACGAUUUGCCAAGACUCGUUGGCGUUCGGUCAAGUCUUCCAGAAGUCGCUGGAGUAGUAUUUUGAUUUGGGCCUUUAAGUUUCGAUCUGGCAAGCAUUGCUGUGGCUUGCGUAGUUUCGUGGUUGCCUUAGGGUGGCCAGACCGAUGUCUCUGAUCGUUGCCUAGGUAUAGAGGUUUUUGAAUUUUUCAUGAAUCGUUUGUCUCCGAUUCAUGAAAAAUUCUUCCGUUGCGGUAGUGUAUGUAGCAUUAUAAUUAAGUUUGUCUAGCUAUUUUAUUUUGAGCGUGUAGUCCUACCAUGUGAGUGAAAAACAUACCAAAGAAUGAGUGUAUAGAAAUAAGAGUGUAGCCGUCAAACGCGCACGUGGAGAAAACAACAUAAACAAAGAGCAACGAUCAACAACAAUCAUCAACAAGCAACCAGAACAAGAACACGGUUAAGCGGUUAGAUUCGUCAUCGCGGUGAAUAAAAAGUGCCUGCUAUCAUUGGUGUACCGGAACCGAAGCCGAUCAAGGACGAUAUCCCGGAUUUGCUCAGUGAAAAGCUUCCAGACAACUGAUUGUGGGUAACACGUAGCAGCAUCGACCGAGCCAGCACUGACAAGAUUCAACCUCUGCUGAAGCAACGGUUGAUGCUAGCGUUGUGCUGAGAGAAGGAAGUAGAGCUCGAAAGAAUAUUUUAAGCUGCGCAAACCAGGUAGUAGGAACACAUACGGAACUGCUGCCCUGGUAUUCACCCAUCCGACGUUGGGAAUUGGAGGUGCAGGAAGAAAGCGACCCCUAGCGGGUGAGUAGCCAAAUUACUGUGCGAAAAAGGAGUUUAUGUAAAGCCAAAAUUAACAAUCGGCAGGUCGUUUUUGGGAGCUGAGAAAAUCGCUUUUCGGGACUCGAUUUUCGCCAUCUCGGUUUUGCGAGUCCCGUUUUUGCGAAAUCAAGCUGCGGACGUUGCGAGAGCCAGCCGGAAGUAGGCGGAAGU